rnacentral:rRNA from 1 species
UGGGGAAUAUUGCACAAUGGGGGAAACCCUGAUGCAGCGACGCCGCGUGAACGAAGAAGGUAUUCGUAUCGUAAAGUUCUGUCCUAUGGGAAGAUAAUGACAGUACCAUAGAAGAAAGCUCCGGCUAAAUACGUCCCAGCAACCGCGGUAAUACGUAUGGAGCGAGCGUUGUCCGGAAUUAUUGGGCGUAAAGGGUACGCAGGCGGUUUAAUAAGUCGAAUGUUAAAGAUCGGGGCUCAACCCCGCAAAGCAUUGGAAACUGAUAAACUUGAGUAGUGGAGAGGAAAGUGGAAUUCCUAGUGUAGUGGUGAAAUACGUAGAUAUUAGGAGGAAUACCAGUAGCGAAGGCGACUUUCUGGACACAAACUGACGCUGAGGUACGAAAGCGUGGGGAGCAAACAGG